rnacentral:rRNA from 1 species
AACGAACGCUGGCGGCAUGCCUAACACAUGCAAGUCGAACGAGACCUUCGGGUCUAGUGGCGCACGGGUGCGUAACGCGUGGGAACCUGCCCUUAGGUUCGGAAUAACUCCCCGAAAGGGGUGCUAAUACCGGAUAAUGUCUUCGGACCAAAGAUUUAUCGCCUUUGGAUGGGCCCGCGUUGGUUUAGCUAGUUGGUAGGGUAAAAGCCUACCAAGGCGACGAUCCAUAGCUGGUCUGAGAGGAUGAUCAGCCACACUGGGACUGAGACACGGCCCAGACUCCUACGGGAGGCAGCAGUGGGGAAUAUUGGACAAUGGGCGAAAGCCUGAUCCAGCAAUGCCGCGUGAGUGAUGAAGUCCUUAGGGUUGUAAAGCUCUUUUACCCGGGAUGAUAAUGACAGUACCGGGAGAAUAAGCUCCGGCUAACUCCGUG